GCUGGGAUAGCUCAGUUGGUAGAGCAUGAGACUCCUAAUCUCAGGGUCAUGGGUUCAAGCCCCAUGUUGGGGCA